CGCGUAGGCGGUUUUACAAGUCUGGUGUGAAAUAUCUCAGCUUAACUGAGGGACCGCGCUGGAAACUGUAAGACUAGAAUCUAGGAGGGGAAGCUGGAAUUCCUGGUGUAGGGGUGAAAUCUGUAGAUAUCAGGAAGAACAUCGGUGGCGAAGGCGAGCUUCUGGCCAUAGAUUGACGCUGAGGCGCGAAAGCGUGGGGAGCGAACAGGAUUAGAUACCCUGGUAGUCC
rnacentral:rRNA from 1 species